rnacentral:lncRNA from 1 species
AGCUUAUCAAUCAUGGAUGGGUGUAUCAAGUGCUCACUCUGUGCCAAGGUCUAUGCCAAAGGCUGGGAUUCAAACAGCAGGGGUGUUUCCGUCUGUGCCUCAAGGAGCAUUGAGCCUGGCAGGCAAGCUGGAAAAGGCUGUGAGAGGGGUGAGCAGCACCACCUGGAUCCCCUGUCAGAUGGCUGGAGGGUGCCGAGGCUUCCUAGAGGAGAUGACCAUCACAAGGAAUGUGAGAGAGAGGGAGUGAGGGCUGACAGAUGACUCUCUGGAUGGCCAGCGGCGGGUGGUGCUGAGCGAGGGAACUGGGGAAAUUCUGACGAGUUCACUUUUGGGGAUGCUGACUACAGCACGCUGAGUGGAGGCAUCUGGGAAGUAGUUGGAGCACACGUUCACAAUAUGUGCCUAAAUCUUUUCAGAGGACAACUUUGACUUUCAAGAAGAGAUUCCAAGUGACAUCUUGAAACCACCUCACCAGAACCAUUGGAGCACUCGUGGCCUCAGCACACUGCUUAUCACUUGAAAAAUGGAGGAACAAGUGUUAUAUUUAUCUGUGUGUCUGACAGUGUGAGAUGUUAGACCGAGAGAAAAGCAAAC